rnacentral:misc_RNA from 1 species
UUUCCGUAGGUGAACCUGCGGAAGGAUCAUUAUUGUAUAACCGAGGUGCGAGGGCUGUCGCUGACCCUAAAGGUCGUGAACGCCCGAGUGCCCUCACACACAUCCAUCUCACCGCUAUGUGCACCACCGCGUGGGUCCCCCUUUGGCUUGUUCGGAGGGGUGCUUACGUUUUCAGACAACCUUUGUAUGGAGUGUAGAAUGUAUUUUUGUUUUUGCGAUCAUGCAAUCAAUACAACUUUCAACAACGGAUCUCUUGGCUCUC